UUCUCAACUGAGAAUUGAGUUCUCAAUUCUCUACCCUAAGUGGGAUCAAUAUAAAGUCUAGCUAGUCACAGAUACUUCAAAGACUCAUGGCUUCAACCAAUAGUUUCAACCUCUUACCCUGCAAACUUGUCAACUACAAAUUACAAAAGUGAAGGGAGGCCCAAAAGACUAGCCCAAGAGACUGUGACACCUCUUCCCUUAAAAUAAGAGUAUGAUUCUCCUCCUCUUCAAUGUGGACGUCACUUGCUAACUGCAUUUGGUAAAAGCGUUUCUAAUGAAUGGGAUGUGUAGUCCAACAUGAAGCAGUGAGGUCUCACUCCAACUUCCAGGCUACCCAAGAAGAUCCUCCAGUCAGAAGACCCUGGCUGACAUCUAAUACAACUUCCUGAGAGACUCUUCCUUGCUUUAUCCUGGCCCACAGAUGUCCUGGGCACUUCUGCCUCUUUCCUGUGGGCCCCCAUCAGAAGGAUCUAGUGAGAUUGUAAAGAUGCUUUGCAAACGAUGAGCACUUCUUCAAAUAUAAGAUGAGAAUUUUAAAGAAAACAAUGGCGGCCACUUCAAGCCUCACAUCACCGAGCCUGCAGUGUGCCUCUCUCAUGGCGUCCAUCUCCUUAGAAUCCAGAAGGAGGAUUCUAUCUCAGUAACUAAAAUGGGCUCAAAGAAGGCAAAUUCCGUGUCAUGUGUAUCAGUCAUUGUCUUGUCCUUUCCCGCAAACUGGGAAAGAAAAACUUGGGUGCUGAGUUAAGAAAAUAAGCCUGCAAUGAACUGCAGAAGUCUGCAGUUAAGAAAAUAAGCCUGCAAUGAACUGCACUUCUCCUUUACCUACCUUGGAAACCCCACUCCCAUCCCAGACCGAGCUCUGUAAACGUCAGCUGUUCUUUUAAAAAUCAACAUCCCCAAAUGAGAGGGGUGUUCUUCUGGGCUAGCAGUCAGCACAAGAAAAUUCAUGAAGAACUAGAGUCAGUGCUCCCCGUUGCUAGUGCACAUUUAUCACUGCCUAUGAAAGGGGGAAGGGGAGUAAAUAUGUGGAAUACAUAUGACAGAAGGGAGGCUUCAUCAGCCCAUUUACAGUCACCACUGAAGGCCUUUGAUAAGCCCAGCUCUAGUUCCCAGAGCGCACACACAAGUGGAACAGCAGUCUGACAGGAUAUUCUUGGGAAAGGGGAUUUCUGAGGUCAAACAUGAAUAGGAAAUGUAAAGUGGACAAGACAAAAAUAGAUUUCCUCAGAGACUUAAGACCAACAUGCAGUGCAACUGUCUGAAAGAGGAACAAAUUAUUCAGCAUUUCUAGAAUUUAUUUGACCCUAAAAUCCAUGUUUUGCAAUGUUCCC